UCCAAAUAAAAAAAAAAAUCGACAAACCCCGUUGUUUGUUUACUCUUGAGGCAAAAACGAAGUGCUAACAAAACUCCACCCUUUCUCCUCCUGUCACUGUUUCUUCGUCUCUACUUCUUCUCAAACCAGAACAGACAGCACCCUCCCAACCACCUUUGAUCUAGGUUGUUAUUUUUUUCUCUCUGAAUUUAAAUGAAAUGGCUCAGAAAAGACCCCCAAAUAGCAGGGGGUACUACGUUAAGAUGAAACUCCUUCACAAACAUGGCAGACCUCAUCAUCAUCAUCAGCAGCAGCAAGAAAAAAACUGCCUCUACAGAUACUACAAAUGGGUUCUCUGGCUUUCUCUUUCCCUCUAUUUCUUCACCUCCUACCUCAUCAGCAACAACAACAACAACAACAACCACUCCAAACAACCAUCUCACGUCUCGAGAGCCCUCAUGGAAUCAAACCACACCACACCUCCUCAACAACAAGCUCUUAACUCUCUAGGGUCUUUGAAGAACUUGAAGGUGUUUGUAUAUGAUCUUCCUCAGAAGUACAACACGGAUUGGUUAUCGAACGAGAGGUGCAGCAAACAUUUGUUCGCGUCGGAGGUUGCAAUUCACAGGGCUUUGUUGACCAGCGAGGUUCGCACGUUUGACCCAUACGACGCUGACUUUUUCUUCGUCCCCGUUUAUGUGUCUUGCAAUUUCAGCACCGUCAACGGCUUCCCGGCGAUUGGCCACGCGCGCUCCCUUAUCGCGUCCGCUGUCAGCCUCGUCUCCUCGGAGUACCCCUUCUGGAACCGGAGCAGAGGCUCCGACCACGUCUUCGUCGCCUCGCACGAUUUUGGCUCGUGUUUCCACACCCUGGAGGACGUGGCGAUGGCUGAUGGCGUGCCAGAGAUUAUGAGGAACUCGAUCGUGUUGCAGACGUUUGGCGUAGUGUAUGAUCACCCGUGCCAGAGUGUCGAGCACGUGGUGAUUCCGCCGUACGUUUCGCCGGAAAGUGUACGGGACACCAUGGAGAAUUUUCCGGUGAACGGACGGCGAGAUAUUUGGGCUUUCUUCCGAGGGAAAAUGGAACUUCAUCCUAAGAACGUUAGUGGACGAUUUUACAGCAAGAAAGUGCGGACGGUGAUAUGGAGGAAGUUCAACGGUGAUCGGCGGUUUUACCUGCAGAGGCAAAGGUUUGCCGGUUACCAGUCAGAGAUUGCACGUUCGGUGUUUUGUUUAUGUCCUCUGGGGUGGGCCCCAUGGAGUCCGAGGCUGGUCGAGUCCGUUGCCUUGGGUUGCGUGCCAGUAAUCAUAGCGGACGGUAUCCGGUUGCCGUUUAUCUCCGCCGUGAAGUGGCCGGAGAUAUCAAUCACGGUGGCGGAGAAAGACGUGGGGAGGCUGGCGGAGAUACUCGAGCGCGUGGCGGCGACAAACCUCAGCACCAUUCAGAGGAACCUGUGGGACCCAGUGACGAGGAGUGCCCUACUUUUCAACAGCCAGGUCCAGAAAGGGGAUGCCACGUGGCAGGUCCUAAGGGCUUUAAGUGAAAAGCUUGAUAGAUCCUUCAGAAGCUCGAGGGUUUCUCGCCAAUUGGAUUUUGACACGUAAGCGGGUUUAAAGUUAAACUCGGCGCCCACUUGUGUUUACUUCUUCACUCACCGGUGGUAAUGAAGAUGACAUUUCAAAAACACGCUGCAUGGACGAUAAUAAAUAGGUGCGUGGCUAAUGGAUAAAGAAUUAAAAUUAAAAAAAUUUCAUAAAAAUUUAUAAUUUUAUUAUCUUAGUAAAAAAAAAAAAUUAAUUAUCCAAGAGCACUUAAUAACAUUUACUUGAUAAAUAAAGAAAUAUUAACAUCGAGUGGAUGACAGCUGGAAUUUCUUCAGACCUGGAAUUUAAUGACUCAUGUUGGGGCCCAAGUAGCAGCAGAUUAGGUUCAAGACUUUCUUCGAGUAUUUAAUGGUGACGUGGUUUAUGGGGGUGAUGACAUGGCAAGAAUUGAUUCGUUGUUUUGCGGCUUGGACUGAGAAAUAUCUUUGGAGGUUGGUCAUUGGUGACAAAAGGGUUCGGAAAACGAAGCUGGAAAUGGGUGGUAAAGGUUGAAGAGAUUUUUGGUAUUUGUCAGUGAAAUGAUUAAUGAGAAUGGAGAUGGACGGAGGAAGUGGAAGAAGAGGGUGUGGGGUGCGAGUGUGUCAGAAAUGUCAUAACUUUUAUACUGGUAGUUUAAUUUUUUACCAAUUUUAAAUUUUUGCAAGUUAAUGGGGGUUGUGACUUGUCAGUGGUCACGGAUGUGUUAAAGGGUUGUCAAAAUCAACGCAAGCAUGGAGAAAAACCAGAGAAUCGAUUGAGAUGAAAGGGGCAUCAUUGGUGUCUUUGGUUUUUUCA